rnacentral:rRNA from 1 species
AACGAACGCUGGCGGCAUGCCUAACACAUGCAAGUCGAACGAGACCUUCGGGUCUAGUGGCGCACGGGUGCGUAACGCGUGGGAACCUGCCCUUAGGUUCGGAAUAACUCCCCGAAAGGGGUGCUAAUACCGGAUAAUGUCUUCGGACCAAAGAUUUAUCGCCUUUGGAUGGGCCCGCGUUGGAUUAGCUAGUUGGUAGGGUAAAAGCCUACCAAGGCGACGAUCCAUAGCUCUGAGAGGAUGAUCAGCCACACUGGGACUGAGACACGGCCCAGACUCCUACGGGAGGCAGCAGUGGGGAAUAUUGGACAAUGGGCGAAAGCCUGAUCCAGCAAUGCCGCGUGAGUGAUGAAGGCCUUAGGGUUGUAAAGCUCUUUUACCCGGGAUGAUAAUGACAGUACCGGGAGAAUAAGCUCCGGCUAACUCCGUG